rnacentral:miRNA from 1 species
GUUCAUAAUUAUAGUAUAAGGAUG